rnacentral:rRNA from 1 species
GACAGAGGGUGCAAACGUUGUUCGGAAUUACUGGGCGUAAAGCGCAUGUAGGCGGUUCGUAAAGUCAGAUGUGAAAGCCCUGGGCUUAACCCAGGAAGUGCAUUUGAAACUCACGAACUUGAGUCCCGGAGAGGAAGGCGGAAUUCUCGGUGUAGAGGUGAAAUUCGUAGAUAUCGGGAGGAACACCAGUGGCGAAGGCGGCUUCCUGGCCUGUUCUUGACGCUGAGGCGCGAAAGCUAGGGGAGCAAACGGG